AACGCUAGCUACAGGCUUAACACAUGCAAGUCGAGGGGCAGCAUGAACUUAGCUUGCUAAGUUUGAUGGCGACCGGCGCACGGGUGAGUAACACGUAUCCAACCUGCCGAUGACUCGGGGAUAGCCUUUCGAAAGAAAGAUUAAUACCCGAUGGCAUAGUUCUUCCGCAUGGUAGAACUAUUAAAGAAUUUCGGUCAUCGAUGGGGAUGCGUUCCAUUAGGUUGUUGGCGGGGUAACGGCCCACCAAGCCUUCGAUGGAUAGGGGUUCUGAGAGGAAGGUCCCCCACAUUGGAACUGAGACACGGUCCAAACUCCUACGGGAGGCAGCAGUGAGGAAUAUUGGUCAAUGGACGAGAGUCUGAACCAGCCAAGUAGCGUGAAGGAUGACUGCCCUAUGGGUUGUAAACUUCUUUUAUACGGGAAUAAAGUGAGGCACGUGUGCCUUUUUGUAUGUACCGUAUGAAUAAGGAUCGGCUAACUCCGUGCCAGCAGCCGCGGUAAUACGGAGGAUCCGAGCGUUAUCCGGAUUUAUUGGGUUUAAAGGGAGCGUAGGCGGACGCUUAAGUCAGUUGUGAAAGUUUGCGGCUCAACCGUAAAAUUGCAGUUGAUACUGGGUGUCUUGAGUACAGUUGAGGCAGGCGGAAUUCGUGGUGUAGCGGUGAAAUGCUUAGAUAUCACGAAGAACUCCGAUUG
rnacentral:rRNA from 1 species